GCUGUUUAGACAUCCCAAUUGUUCUUCCUACAGCUCCCAAUGGGAAGCUUCCUUUCCCAGAGGGCAUCUCUCUGUCUCUCUGCUUUUCUCUUCAGUGUGGCCCGGUGAGAGCCAGAGACCCAGUGCAAGUUGGAAAGCAGGUUAAGGCAGCCAGGCUUUGGGGGGGACCAUUUCCUCUUCCCCACCCCACCCCCCACAAAAGAAAGAAACAAACAGCCUGGAUUGACUGAAGCCGUUUGGAGAAUGUUCACAUUUUUCCAGACUGGUUUCUUUAUCACCAUAACAGCCAGAGUUCAGGGUAUUUGACAAAGUCUUUUCUCUCUCUCUUUCUCUCUCAUUUUUUUUUCUUCCUCUUCUUUCUUAGAUUUGUGCACAACACCCUCCCCCAAGGAAUUAAUAAACGAGGCCUGAACGGGAAGAGGGGAUUAGAACAGAGCAGGGAAAUCUCGCCACAAGGCCCAUGCCUCUAAACCCCACCGUUCCUUUCAAGCCAUCAAAACCAGGCUGUCGGUUCUCUGGUCCCAAACAGCCUCAGAAGACAGGCAUCCACACACAGCCCUGUUUUGGAGAAAGGAGAGUUUAUGCACCAGCAGAAUACACUGGUCAUUAGGAUACCAACAAGAGAACUCUUGAGACAGUAGUGGAGAAAUCCCGGGACUUGGUUUCAAACCACCUCGAGGCAUGCCAUCAAGUUGCAGACGCUACUAUGACGCCAUCCUGACUUCCCUGAGCAGACGACCUCACCAGUGUGUCCUGAAGUCUCACUUCCCCAGAACCCUGCCCCGCUAGGGAGAGAUAAAAACAGGGUGGUGGUGGAGGGGGGCCUGUGGAUCCACAUGUCAAUGCCCAUGUCCAGCAGGGAAACAAUUACAGAAGCCAGACUUCCCACCUUCUGCACCCCCAAAUGAAUUUUGGUCCAUAUUCCCAAAGGGAUCAAGAAUAGGGAAGCUUCCAAUGGAGGGGAUGGGACACGGUACUCUGCGGGUGGGAACUGUGUAGAAUUAUAUCCAUGUUAUCUUACAAGUUUGUUAAUCAUUAUUAAAUCACUAACAAAAAAAUUUUAAAAAUAAGCACAUGAUUAGAAAAUUAAUACUAUUGGGUAAAUGUUAGAGAAAAGAAAACACACACACACACACACACACAACUACUCAUUUCAUGAUAGAAUGAGACCAGAGCACUACUCCAGUUCACACAGUGCCUGAGAUAGAACUUGGG